rnacentral:lncRNA from 1 species
AAAAACAGAAGAAGUUGAAAACGAAUGUCUCAAGAAGAGGGGAUCUCCCUGUAACCUAGCCAGAAGCAUGCAAAAGAAAAUCAAACCAGUUGGGACCAUCCUUUUGGCCGAUCCUUGUCAUGUCACUACCUCUUCCAAAUAGAACCCCGGGCCAAAGAAAACUAGGGCAACUUUGUGAACCUCACACGAGUUGUUCAUCAGCCCAUACCACGAUAAAAAAAAAAAAACUGGGGCAACUUUGUGAGUCUCACACAAAAUUUUCAUCAAUCCAUAAUCCCAUGACCAGGGCAACUUUGCAAGUCUCAUUUGAUUUGUUCACCCUUAUUUUCAUGGAUCCAUACCCUUAUGCUCAUUUUCCCAAACACUAAAUGGGGGAAAAUUUUUUUGGUAUAUCUUGUUUCGUCUUGGCACUUACAUAUUACAUCUCCUUUGAGGAUUGUGGUACCCAUGUGCCGGUCCCAGUCUUCCAAACCAUUCCAAACAACUCUCAUUCUCUUCAAAACCAUCCUCUUGCCAAUAAAUUUAAGCAUGUGUGCACUGAUGUCCCGAAAGAAAAGUCAAAAUGUAAUAAUCUCAAAGUUUAGACCUUGGAUGUAAGACAUUUAUCACUUUCACAAAACAUUGAAAAUGAAAAUCGGUUUGAUAAUUGCGAGCAAGACGAUUGACUCAAGCAAAA